CAAUAGCGUAUAUUAAAGUUGUUGCAGUUAAAAAGCUCGUAGUUGGAUUUGUGGCGUACGGUGUGUUCCGGGCACUUGUUGUCUGAGUAACCUGCUGUUGCCAUCCUUGGGUGGUACCUGUGUGGCAUUAGGUUGUCGUGCAGGGGAUGCCCAUCAUUUACUGUGAAAAAAUUAGAGUGUUCAAAGCAGGCUUAUGCCGUUGAAUAUAUUAGCAUGGAAUAAUGAGAUAGGACUUUUUUGCUAUUUUGUUGGUUUGCGCAAAGAGGUAAUGAUUAAUAGGGACAGUUGGGGGUAUUCGUAUUCCAUUGUCAGAGGUGAAAUUCUUGGAUUUUUGGAAGACGAACUACUGCGAAAGCAUUUACCAAGGAUGUUUUCAUUAA
rnacentral:rRNA from 1 species